CCCACGAUCCUCACUUAACAAUGGCAUUAAUACAAUUUUAAUACAAUGUUCCCUUGAUUUCUGUAAUUUUUUUAUCCUGUCCAUUGGAAGUUAUUUUCAGUUUCUUUGUGUUGCAUACUGAGCUAGAGCAUCUUCUCUCUUUUUGUUCUUCUCUGGAACUCAGUGCUUUUUUGGGUAAAUUCCCCACUCUUUGUGUUACCUUUUGCUUUCCACUUUUCUUAGAUAUUUUCAAUGUAUAUUUUUGUUUGUUUCUUCUAUAAUAUCAUGAAUUUCAGUCUAGAAUUAUUCAGGCACUCUGUCAAGUCUAAUCCAUUCACAUUAUUCUUCAUCUUCAUUGCAUAAUCAUAGGGAAUAUUGCUGAGGGUGUAUUCUUGGUCAAAGGAUUUUAUUUGUUUUUGUGUAAUUUUGCAAGAAGCACUUCAUGAUCUUAAGCCAUAGUCAACACCAGGUCUUUUUUUCCCUGACUGAACAGAGCUUCUCCACCUUUGCCUGCACAUAUAUAAAUCAAUUUGAUUUUGCUGUUGUCCAUCCAGUGAUGCCUGUGUGUGGAGUUGUCUUUUCAGUUUUUGAAAGAAGAUGUUUGCUUUAAACUUUGAAUUUUUAUUGAAUUUUCUUGGCAGCA